CCCUCCCGGAUAUAUUCUGCAACAUUGAUUGAUUGAUUGAUUGAUUGAUUGAUUAAACUUAUAUCCCUUCCUUUCUGCCAAAGGAGCCCAGGGCAGUAAACAACAAGCAAGAAUACUCUGUUUAAAAACCGCCCAUGAAGGAGCGUCCACACCUUCUGAGCCGCCCUGGCUGUGUGAACAAGAGGAAUUCUGAUCAAUGACCUUUAGGUUCAGACAUAUAUGGGACAGGACAAGCUUUGGAUGGAAGAGUGCUGUGGGUCUCCCUCCUACCCUUUAGGAAAGGGAAGUGGCUCCAUGGUCAAGCUACUGAUGUGAAUGCAGAAGAUCCCAGGUUCAGUCCAGAUACUUUUAAACAACCAGUUGCUGGACGUGUGGAUUUGCUUGGAAUGCUGUUAGCAGCAACAAACACACAGACAAAUGAACAGGAAGACGGCUGGUUGUACACUGGAUGUACACUGACUUUGUGCCAUAUGCACUAGAAUCUUUGAAAAAUCUCCAUGGGCAUACUGUCAUUUAAUAAAUAAUCCACGCCCUUGUACCAUUGCAUGCUAUGUACCAUUGAAUGCCACAGUGACUGAAUGCUGUCAGAUAUCACAUUGGAAUGAUUUCCCCACCCCCUUUCCUUUUCCCUGAAAAGCUGAAAUGGUUGUGCAACC